CCUAACACAUGCAAGUCGAACGGUAACAGGAAACAGCUUGCUGUUUCGCUGACGAGUGGCGGACGGGUGAGUAAUGUCUGGGAAACUGCCUGAUGGAGGGGGAUAACUACUGGAAACGGUAGCUAAUACCGCAUAACGUCGCAAGACCAAAGAGGGGGACCUUCGGGCCUCUUGCCAUCGGAUGUGCCCAGAUGGGAUUAGCUAGUAGGUGGGGUAACGGCUCACCUAGGCGACGAUCCCUAGCUGGUCUGAGAGGAUGACCAGCCACACUGGAACUGAGACACGGUCCAGACUCCUACGGGAGGCAGCAGUGGGGAAUAUUGCACAAUGGGCGCAAGCCUGAUGCAGCCAUGCCGCGUGUAUGAAGAAGGCCUUCGGGUUGUAAAGUACUUUCAGCGGGGAGGAAGGGAGUAAAGUUAAUACCUUUGCUCAUUGACGUUACCCGCAGAAGAAGCACCGGCUAACUCCGUGCCAGCAGCCACGGUAAUACGGAGGGUGCAAGCGUUAAUCGGAAUUACUGGGCGUAAAGCGCACGCAGGCGGUUUGUUAAGUCAGAUGUGAAAUCCCCGGGCUCAACCUGGGAACUGCAUCUGAUACUGGCAAGCUUGAGUCUCGUAGAGGGGGGUAGAAUUCCAGGUGUAGCGGUGAAAUGCGUAGAGAUCUGGAGGAAUACCGGUGGCGAAGGCGGCCCCCUGGACGAAGACUGACGCUCAGGUGCGAAA
rnacentral:rRNA from 1 species